AACGAACGCUGGCGGCAUGCCUAACACAUGCAAGUCGAACGAGACCUCCGGGUCUAGUGGCGCACGGGUGCGUAACGCGUGGGAACCUGCCCUUAGGCUCGGAAUAACUCCCCGAAAGGGGUGCUAAUACCGGAUAAUGUCUUCGGACCAAAGAUUCAUCGUCGUUGGAUGGGCCCGCGUUGGAUUAGCUAGUUGGUAGGGUAAAAGCCUACCAAGGCGACGAUCCAUAGCUGGUCUGAGAGGAUGAUCAGCCACACUGGGACUAAGACACGGCCCAGACUCCUACGGGAGGCAGCAGUGGGGAAUAUUGGACAAUGGGCGGAAGCCUGAUCCAGCAAUGCCGCGUGAGUGAUGAAGGCCUUAGGGUUGUAAAGCUCUUUUACCCGGGAUGAUAAUGACAGUACCGGGAGAAUAAGCUCCGGCUAACUCCGUG
rnacentral:rRNA from 1 species